AGAGUUUGAUCCUGGCUCAGGACGAACGCUGGCGGCGUGCCUAAUACAUGCAAGUCGAGCGGAAUGAUGAAGAAGCUUGCUUCUUCUGAUUUUAGCGGCGGACGGGUGAGUAACACGUGGGCAACCUACCUUGUAGAUUGGGAUAACUCCGGGAAACCGGAGCUAAUACCGAAUAAACCAUUUUGCUUCAUGGCAAGAUGGUGAAAGGCGGCUUCGGCUGUCACUACUAGAUGGGCCCGCGGCGUAUUAGCUAGUCGGUAGGGUAAUGGCCUACCAAGGCGACGAUACGUAGCCGACCUGAGAGGGUGAUCGGCCACACUGGGACUGAGACACGGCCCAGACUCCUACGGGAGGCAGCAGUAGGGAAUCUUCCACAAUGGACGAAAGUCUGAUGGAGCAACGCCGCGUGAGUGAAGAAGGUUUACGGAUCGUAAAACUCUGUUGUAAGGGAAGAACACGUACGAGAGUAACUGCUCGUACCUUGACGGUACCUUAUUAGAAAGCCACGGCUAACUACGUGCCAGCAGCCGCGGUAAUACGUAGGUGGCAAGCGUUGUCCGGAAUUAUUGGGCGUAAAGCGCGCGCAGGCGGUUCUUUAAGUCUGAUGUGAAAGCCCACGGCUCAACCGUGGAGGGUCAUUGGAAACUGGAGAACUUGAGUACAGAAGAGGAAAGCGGAAUUCCACGUGUAGCGGUGAAAUGCGUAGAGAUGUGGAGGAACACCAGUGGCGAAGGCGGCUUUCUGGUCUGUAACUGACGCUGAGGCGCGAAAGCGUGGGGAGCAAACAGGAUUAGGGUUACCUUGUUACGACUUACUGAGCCAGGAUCAAACUC
rnacentral:rRNA from 1 species